ACUAAAGAAGAGAAAGAAACAGUAACCAUGUUAUUAGUUUUAAGUGCAAAAUUCACAGUGUCAAAAGGUUCAGUGCGUUCCCAUUGAAAGUGUUGAGUGGGGAAAGCAUCACAGCACAACAGACGUCUAAUUGAAGAUACUUUUGAAUAAAUGGGGAGAAGAAUUAAUUCAUUAUUCUUUAACAAACUUAUCCUCAGUCCAGAGGCCUACUGUGCUCAUUCCUGCCCUACAGAACUUGUAAUUACUUGGAAAUGAACACAACAUGUGGACAAGACAAAGACAAUUGGAGGAAACAGGCAAGGAAUGUUUCGAGAAAUAUGUGGCUAAAUAAUGUAGUUACGUGCACAAUUGGAUGGAUUCAGGAUAGUUCAAAGCACAAAUAAACUGAAAUUAGCACUCCCUACUAGGAAAUCGCUCAGCCAUUAUUAUUUAGCAGCUUCCUUUAGCGUAUAAGCGAGUCAGAGAGGAAAAAUACAGGCUACUGGUCUUUAAGAAUUUACUCAGAUAUAUUGUGCAUAACUGAAAAAUGGACAGUAAGUGAAAGAUGCUCUCCUGAAAGUGAACUGGAAGGUGUCUGUAACUGAUUGCCAUCGCUGACAGCACAGAGAUGGAUCUAUGAUACAGAAGGAAUGCUGAUGCUAGUUAGACACUCUUUUAUAAAUUGAAUUGCACUUUAGUUAUUAAACCCAGUUAUUAUUGCCUUUCUACAGUAGAAGCAGUGGAACAGACCAGUGUACUGUCCUUGUUCCAAUGAGAAGACAGUAAACUCAGCAUAAUGCACUGACAAAUCUGUUUUAAGCAGAUUGAUACUGCAGGUGAGGCACAUGAGAAGCCGUGUUCAACUAAUCUGAUUUCCAGUUCUUUUUACCACAGUAGCUUAGCAGGUUGUGUUCAUUUGUUGACUGUAAUGGUCCAGUUCAAAUCACUGUGCAGCUACACAGAUUCACACUGUUGUAACAAAGGGAAAAGAAAAGGCACCAGCAGACGGAAGCUACAGACUGCUUACAACUGAUUUAAGUACUGUUAAUUUCCUCUUCUGUCCUUGCUACAGAAGACAGAAACCUCUGUCUCCUAUUGGCAGUCUGGGUCUGGAUACAGAGACAGGAGGUGAACAAAGGGGUAACAAAUCAGGAUGCACAGAGGAUGGACAUAACAAGUAACACGUCCCAUAUGGCACAAGAAGCUAUAACAGAUUUAAGCCCACAACAUCAGCAUCCCUUAACUGCAGAUUUAAAUGCACCUCCACUUACAAAUAAUUUCUCAAUUUUAGUACUCCCUUUUAACUUAUUUUUUUCCUAACAAUGGAAAGAAGGUACUCUUUAUAUACAAGUUUAUAUAUAUAUAUAUAUAAGUUUAUAUACAAAUCUCAAGUGUUGGUCAGUGUACUUCUAGUCUCAAAGCCUGACUAUACCCAUCAAGCAGAACACAAAUCUAACUAAAUACAAUGCUGUUGAUCAAUACUUUAUUAUAAAAGGUCCCAAAUAACUAUAACUACAAUAAUUAAUGCAUUCUCAUUUGUAGCCAUAAGACUUGGCAUGAAGUAUGGCAAGGUUUGCAGAAUGCUACUUGAAAUCUUAAGUGAUGUUUCCAAUGGUUUUCUGUUUGUGAAGAAACACCUUGAAAAUAAACAUUCUGUAAAUCAACUGACAGUGUCAGCUGAUUGAACUUACAAUCUGAAACUACAACUUCAAUGUUUUAUUUGACUGAGUCACAUGAUAAAGGAAAAAAAAACCCAAACUGUUAUUCUCUUAUUGAUAUAUUUAAGUCUGUACCCAAUAAUUCUAAUUUUAAGUUUUAUUUCAAGACCGUGAAGGUUCUUACAAAAGCAAAGGAUCUGGAAAAAGUAUCUCACAAGUAUAUAAUAGACUGACAUUCCUAAACAACACUGUUGUAAAGUUUCCGAUUACUGCUUCAGAUUUUUUUGCAUUUACAUACUUUUUAAUAUAUUUAUAACAACCUAAUAGGCCCAAUAGGAGACAACUAUUCUUACAAAUCUUUUUGCAUUGUCAUUGAGUAGACAUUUGGUUUUGCUGCAUACGAAACCAAAUGAUUGUAUCUUAAUAGUCCAGCAGUCUGGUAAAACACUUAUAAUGAUAUCUUUUUCCACAGCUGUCACACUAAAUAAUACAGUCCUAGAGCAGAGCCCAUGGGGGAAAAAGAAAACAAAAAUAAUGACAACAGCGUUGCUUCCUUCAAGCAGAUUUCACUGCAAUGGGAAUGUACAGUUAAACUAUGAGACACCACGUGGAGCUGGCAAUCAUUUCCAGGAAGAACCUGUAGACAGUAGCCACAUCUGACGUAAACAAUGAGGAUGGAAUGAGAACUGCUUAACUCAAGCCUUUUAAACCACAACCUGCAUCCCCCCCAAAAGUCCAGUAAUCAAACUGUAUCUGCUAACCUGCACAAACCUACCGAAAGGCAACCAAAACACACUUUUAAUGGAAAUUCUUUUCACUUAAAAUGAAAGCCUAUAUGUUCACCAGUGUAUGCUGAAGGUAAGUUAGAAGUAUUAGCCACAGUUUCAAGAACAGUUGGUCUGGCCCAUUUCAAAGUGUAGUUCUGCUAAAUACAUGGAACAUCGUCUUCAGCGACAUAUGCGUAGGAGGUGUCAGGAAAAUAGUAAUUCUAUUAUCCAUUAGAAAUCUUUGUACUGUUUAGCAUUCGAAAAAAGCAAGUAGAACUUGCUAUAAACAAAUGGCAGCCCUGGUCUCUCACAUUCAUUUAUCUGCCUAAACAACACUUCCUUCAUCACAAAUCAUGGCUUUUGCCCUCUUCCCACUGAAGUAAACUGUGAUAAUAACUGGCUGUAACUGGCUGCAUCUAAGGAGAUUGGCAAGAUGGUGAGUUCCUGUUUUACUGUUAUGUAUUACAUUCAAAUGGCUAAUUUAUUAUUUUUUUUAAUUAUAGUUAACCCAAAAUCAUUCAUGAGAAAUUGCUGUCUUCCCAUAAUUGUAUAACAGAACAUCCAGGGAAAAAAAAAAAAAAAAAAAAAAAA